AUGGAUAAGAAGGAGGAGGAUGAGGAUAAUAUCUUCACCACUUGGGCGCAGGGUUUCGAUCAACAGCAGGGGAGCGAGGAGCCAGAGGAAUCAGAGAGGAAGUGCAGUCUGAACAUUCCCAGGCCCAGUCGAUCCAUUGCUAACCGCCGAGCCUCACUGCCUUGUCCGUCCACAUUACAAGCCAUGCAGCUGACCCGCCUGCACAGCGCCACCAUGGCACCCAGUCCUGCCAGUCACGGAGGCAGGAAAGAUGGCGAGGCACGGAAGCACUACCGGGCACGCCAUGCAGGCAUCAACGGGGGCGACGUGUGCCCCAAAGCCAACAGCACCCCCGAGAGGGAGAGGCGGGCCCCUGCCAUUCCCACAAUUCCCGAGAUCACAGAGACCCUGGAGAAGAAGACCAGGUUCAGGAGCAGGAAUGUCAUGUCUAUGAGCGAUGCAGACAGCAUUUGUCUAAUCUGCCAUGAUGAUCUCUACAAAGGUGGGAGAGGUGUGAGAGAAUUACACUGCUCACACAGCUUUCACACUGAGUGCAUAGAGGAGUGGCUGUGGAGGAAGCAGGCCUGCCCCACCUGUCGCGUGCAUGUGGCUAUGCCCGAGCCUCUCUACUGGACCUCCACUCGUGUUAAAGUGCCCUAA
rnacentral:lncRNA from 1 species